rnacentral:rRNA from 2 species
UACGUAGGGGGCAAGCGUUGUCCGGAAUCAUUGGGCGUAAAGAGCGUGUAGGCGGCCCGGUAAGUCUGUUGUGAAAGUCCAGGGCUCAACCCUGGAAAGCCGAUGGAUACUGCCGGGCUAGAGUUCGGAAGAGGCGAGUGGAAUUCCUGGUGUAGCGGUGGAAUGCGCAGAUAUCAGGAGGAACACCUAUAGCGAAGGCAGCUCGCUGGGACGACACUGACGCUGAGACGCGAAAGCGUGGGGAGCGAACAGG